rnacentral:rRNA from 1 species
GAUGAACGCUAGCGGCAGGCUUAACACAUGCAAGUCGAGGGGUAAAUAUAGCAAUAUAUGAGACCGGCAAACGGGUGCGGAACACGUACUGAACCUACCUUUAUCUGGGGCAUAGCCCGGAGAAAUCCGGAUUAACUCCCCAUAGUAUCAUUGGAUGGCAUCAUUUGGUGAUUAAAAAAUUUAUUGGAUAAAGAUGGCAGUGCGUCCCAUUAGCUAGUUGGUAGGGUAACGGCCUACCAAGGCGACGAUGGGUAGCUGGUGUGAGAGCACGACCAGCCACACGGGCACUGAGACACGGGCCCGACUCCUACGGGAGGCAGCAGUGAGGAAUAUUGGUCAAUGGACGCAAGUCUGAACCAGCCAUGCCGCGUGAAGGAUGAAGGCCUUCUGGGUUGUAAACUUCUUUUAUGUGGAAGAAACCUACUGAUUUCUAUUAGAGUUGACGGUACCAUAGGAAUAAGCACCGGCUAACUCCGUGCCAGCAGCCACGGUAAU